CAGUAUCCCUAGCUGAAUACAUAGGCUAGUGGAAGCGAACCGGGUGAACUGAAACAUCUCAGUAGCUCGAGGAAAAGAAAUCAACCGAGAUUCCGAAAGUAGUGGCGAGCGAAAUCGGAUGAGCCUUUACGUUUUUAGCGCGCAGGAUAGUCGAACGGAAUGGAAAGUCCGGCCGUAGCAGGUGAUAGCCCUGUAGACGAAAUUCUGUGUGUGGAACUAAGCGUAAGACAAGUAGGGCGGGACACGUGAAAUCCUGUUU
rnacentral:rRNA from 1 species